CCACUCCCGGCCCGCAGCCGCCCCCCCGGACCACGCGCCUCUGCCAGCCCUGACACUGUUUUUUGGAAUCUCAUUAAUCACUUGUUUGGUGAUUCUGACUGUACUUUCUUCCCUGACCCUUUAAACCGUCAAAACGCUGAUCCUGUAUGUGCUGACGAAUUUAAUCAGCUCCUUUAAACCACCAGAUGCUUUCAGUAAGAUUUUCAGCAUGUCCCUGGCACAUUUUAAUUCAAAGGUCAAAAGCCUUAGGCUUGUUUACUUCGGUGUUGUAUAGAUAAGACAAUUCAGUCUGUAAAGUAACACAACAGUAUGCAGACACCUACCAGAUUUACACACACACAGAGGGAACGGGAUUUAUCCUCACAAACCAGUGUUGUAAGCUGAGCUGGCGACUAUUGUAACUACUUUACGUAAAGAGCCCACUUCUUUUCCACAUAGAUGAUUAAACUCCGUGGUGACAUGUGAGAGAAGGAUCCCAAGAGACAGAAAUCGGAUCAGAAGUCUUGGGGAUUUUAGGCAGAGCUGAAGAUUCUCUUCUCCGCUACAGAAAUGACGCGUUACAAACACAAGAACCACUGACCACCAUCUCUGAACAGACCAAGAAUACCUGAGUCCCUCGAGAGUAGCGUUGUAUACGUCGUCCACGUGCAAGGGCUGUACAGUUUUUGCGUGGGUUAUGCUGCAUGCUAACUGUACGGCUAUGAGACACCGGGGCUCCCAGCGUCGUGUUUGGGGAGCAGAAGGCAGCCGGGCCAACACCUGCUUCGGUUUUCCCCAGAAGAAACUCCAAAAACAGCAAUAAAAAUCUUGCUUGGUUCUGAA